rnacentral:tRNA from 1 species
UUCCUACGCAGGUAAUCGAACCCUGGUGAAAGCCAGACAUCCUAACCACUAGACCACAUGGGA